GUCAUUUUGGACUCACUUAUAAAUAAGUUAUAAAAUAGUAUACUACAUAAGCGAGUUAUUUCUGGAUGAGAACAUCAAGCAAUUAUUUUUACGACUUACAAGCUUCGAGAAUAACUGACUUUAAGCAUGAAGAUAAAGAAUAACUGACUUUGGGGAGCUGUAGCUUUUAAAAAACAUUCUAUGACAGCUUUGGGGUCAAAGUUUUCUGCUAAAGGAACUAUUCAUGCUCUUCUAUGGAACGAGAUACACCUUCAAUGCGAUAACAAUAGCCUGCAGAUAGGGUAACAAGAUGUGAAUAGCCUUGGGCAGCCUUUUAACUGUCGUAGUCACAAAGUACUCGUACUUUGCCGUCGGGGAUAUUGUCGUAAAUCGCGUUUGGGGGCAUGAAAACUUAUCCAAUUUAUAUCGAAAUCUUACCAUUUCAAUAUCAAUGACUGUUUUUUAUUGUUGUUUAUCUUGCUGGUUUCUCUGUGUGUUGGUGUGUAAUUUGUGCAAAGUUCUCGUUGGCUUGUAAACCACAAAACCGAACCGUAAAAAUAACAAGCGGUCAAAAGGCCACAACAGCAA